UACGUAGGGUGCGAGCGUUAAUCGGAAUUACUGGGCGUAAAGCGUGCGUAGGUGGUGCGUUAAGUCUGUCGUGAAAGCCCCGGGCUCAACCUGGGAAUGGCGAUGGAUACUGGCGCGCUAGAGUGCGGUAGAGGAGAGUGGAAUUCCCGGUGUAGCAGUGAAAUGCGUAGAGAUCGGGAAGAACACCAGUGGCGAAGGCGGCCUGCUGGGCAGUUGCUGACGCUGAGGCGCGACAGCGUGGGGAGCAAACAGG
rnacentral:rRNA from 1 species